rnacentral:rRNA from 1 species
CCUACGGGUGGCAGCAGUGAGGAAUAUUGGUCAAGGGGCGAGAGCCUGAACCAGCCAAGUCGCGUGAAGGAUGACGGCCCUACGGGUUGUAAACUUCUUUUGUCAGGGAGCAAGUGAGUCCACGUGUGGGCUUAGCGAGAGUACCUGAAGAAAAAGCAGCGGCUAACUCCGUGCCAGCAGCCGCGGUAAUACGGAGGAUGCGAGCGUUAUCCGGAUUUAUUGGGUUUCACGGGUGCGUAGGCGGAAUAUCAAGUCAGCGGUACAAAUUCGGGGCUCAACCCCGUCGUGCCGUUGAAACUGCUGUUCUUGUGUGGGCGAGACGUAUGCGGAAUGCGUGGUGUCGCGGU